rnacentral:lncRNA from 1 species
GCAAAGUUGAAACACAGGUAUUAAAGUUUAUCUUUGUCUCCUUUUGUAACCAGGUUACCUGUCCCUCUUUCUAGCCAAAGACUGGAGGCUUAUUCUCUGGAGAAAUUGAACCAAACAGAUGAGAAGUGGGACUUGGGGGAGAGCAGAGGUGGUAGUGAGGUGCUACACUGAAAACAGGAGACUGAGACAAUGUCAGUAUUUGGAACAUGAGCCUUCAGUCCCCUUCUCACCCAGCUAACGAACGUGCCAGCAGGGCCUCUACCCAGCCCGCCCACUCCACCCACAAAGAUGAACAAUUAUAAAAACAACUUUCCACUUGAUUAUUUGUUAAAAUGAAACCCAAGAGUCCACAAGUCCUGCCCAUUCAUGCAAGGCUUUCAGUCUCUUAUGAUUAUGAUAAACUGAUAACUGAGGAUCAAUUGACAUUUGAGGAUAACUUCAACAAUGAAACAUAAGACCAAAACAAAAGAACCAAAAAUAAUAAUAAUAAUGGAAGGAACAUAUGCUGUAAUACUCUCAGAAACAAGAAAAUAUACUGUCUCUAUGAAGUAAGAACAGGGUGCUAGAAAAAAAGGGACAAUCAGAAAACUAAAAUAUUGGAAAAAUCGAGCUAGAAUUAAACAUUCAGUAGAUGUGUUGGAAGAUAAGUUGAAGAAAUUUCAGGAAGCAGAACAGAAAGGCAGAGAUGGAAAACAGGAAAGAACAACAACAACAAAAUUAGAAGAUCAGAAUGGGAUCCAUCUGAUUAGUAAAAGCCCCAAAAUAGAGAGCAGAGAAAGGAAGUGAAAAGAGGUAACAAAAUUAAAGAACAUUUCCCCAAAAUGUAGGUCAUGAGUCGUAUAAAUUAAAAGGAUCCAGAGUGCCCAGCACAAUGAAUUUAACACAGAAAAGCAUAUCGUGAUAUUUCAGGAUGCCAGAAUUAAAGAAGAUCCUGAAAGUUUACAAAGGAGGUGAAACAAGAGUUACACAAAAGACCUUUUCACAGUGAUACUUAGAUUUCUUGGUAGCAACACUGGAUGAAGGAACACUGUGAAAGUAAGGCCUUCAAAUAUAAGAGGAGAAAUUAUUUCCAAUGCAGAAUUCUGUACCCAAACAAUCCAAUCAAGUAUGGGGCUAAAAUAAAGUUUAGACUUGCAUGGUCUCAAAAUGUUAUCUUCCCAUUGUACCCCUUCUUAGGAGGCUACUGGAGAGUGUGCAUCACCAAAACAAAAGAGUAAGUCUAAAGAAGAAGGCUUGGCAUCCUGAAGACAAGAUCUCACAAAGGAAUGCAAUGAAGGAAAGUCAGGAUGGCUACCAUGUCAAGUAAGUAAGGUGGGGGUCUCAGGAAGUAGGGCUCUAGGAAACUGGGAACCAGUGUUUGAGUACGUGGAAAAUGCAGAAAGGAGUGAGUCAGAUGUUAGGAUAUUAGAGGAAACAAAAAGGAUAAGUACAUGGGAUACUUGGUUAAUGUUAAAAUGAGGCAAUUAGAAGUACCCCAAUACACAUUUUUGGAUUUUGGAUUUUGGACACAUUCCAGGGUGUCACUGUGUCACGAAAAUAAAUCUCAAAUUUUAUUUCUUAAAAUGCAGUUAUUACAAUUUUAGUCAGAAUUUAGAAGUUUGGCAUUAAAAAUGUAGUAUUAAAAUUGUAGUCAUGUCAGUAAUUAUAUGGUUUCUUCAGGUAUCAUACUCAAUAAUUGCAACAGAUGCACCAAUAAGACAUGCACUGCAGAAGGCUUUUUCAGAAAAAAAAAUUACAGUAAAACCUUUGUUUGCGAGCAUAAUUGGUUCCAGAAACAUGCUUGUAAUCCAAAGUACUCAUAUAUCAAAGCGAAUUUCAAGAACCAUUGGCUCAGUUGUGAUCAUGUGACACUCAGUGUCACGUACUACUCAGAUUGCAAGAUAUCACUCAUUGAUCAAGUUAAAAUUUUUUAGAAAUGUUGGCUUGUCUUGUGGAACACUCACAGACCAAAUUACUCGCAAUCCAAGGUUUUACUGUAUUAUAACUUGUUUUGUAAAAAGAACUUUGUCCCUUCCUUAGGCAAACCUCAAAAUUUUCUUACUAACAGAAAUGAUACAUAGUCUGUAGCAGUAGGGUGAAUAGCAUUUUCAUGUAAAUUUUAGCCUCUGUUGUUUCAAAAGCGUGCUACUUUAAAAAUAGUAUUUUGAAUUUUCAUGUUAUUUUUCAUCUUCCAUACUGUUUUUGCUAUCAAGAUAUAGUUAUAUCCAGUGACAGCUCCAUAACAUAUUCCCAUAUAAUGCCUUUGGGUUUUUUUCUGAGUUAUGAUUGAGGGU